CGCGUGGUUCUAUUUUGUUGGUUUCUAGGACCGCCGUAAUGACUAAUAGGGACAGUCGGGGCCGUCUGUAUUCAAUUGUCAGAGGUGAAAUUCUUGGAUCUAUUGAAGACAAACUACUGCGAAAGCAUUCGGCAAGGAUGUUUUCAUUGAUAAGGAACGAAAGUUAGGGGAUCGAAGACGAUCAGAUACCGUCGUAGUCUUAACUAUAAACUAUGCCGACUAGGGAUCGGACGAUGUUAUUUUUUGACUCGUUCGGCACCUUUCGAGAAAUCAAAGUGCUUGGGCUCCAGGGGGAGUAUGGUCGCAAGGCUGAAACUUAAAGAAAUUGACGGAAGGGCACCACCAGGGGUGGAACCUGCGGCUUAAUUUGACUCAACACGGGGAAACUCACCAGGUCCAGACACAGUGAGGAUUGACAGAUUGAUAGCUCUUUCUUGAUUCUGUGGGUGGUGGUGCAUGGCCGUUCUUAGUUGGUAGAGUGAUUUGUCUGCUUAAUUGCGAUAACGAACGAGACCUUAACCUGCUAAAUAGCCCUUAUUGCUUCGGCAGUAAGCUGGCUUCUUAGAGGGACUAUCGGCUCAAGCCGAUGGAAGUUUGAGGCAAUAACAGGUCUGUGAUGCCCUUANAUGUCCUGGGCCGCACGCGCGUUACACUGACAAAGCCNGCGAGUAUUUCCUUGGNCCGGNANNNCCGGGUAAUCUUGNUAAACUUCGUCGUGC
rnacentral:rRNA from 1 species